CUACGUGCCAGCAGCCGCGGUAAUACAGAGGGUGCAAGCGUUAAUCGGAAUUACUGGGCGUAAAGCGAGCGUAGGUGGUCAUUUAAGUCAGAUGUGAAAUCCCCGGGCUUAACCUGGGAACUGCAUCUGAUACUGGGUGACUAGAGUAGGUGAGAGGGAAGUAGAAUUCCAGGUGUAGCGGUGAAAUGCGUAGAGAUCUGGAGGAAUACCGAUGGCGAAGGCAGCUUCCUGGCAUCAUACUGACACUGAGGUUCGAAAGCGUGGGUAGCAAACAGGAUUAGAUACCCUGGUAGUCCACGCCGUAAACGAUGUCUACCAGUCGUUGGGUCUCUUGAAGACUUAGUGACGCAGUUAACGCGAUAAGUAGACCGCCUGGGGAGUACGGCCGCAAGGUUAAAACUCAAAUGAAUUGACGGGGGCCCGCACAAGCGGUGGAGCAUGUGGUUUAAUUCGAUGAUACGCGAGGAACCUUACCCGGGCUUGAACUGCAGCUGAACGAUUCAGAGA
rnacentral:rRNA from 1 species